ensembl:lncRNA
GUUCUGGAGAAAGGGACAUGAGGGAGCUCCAGAACAAAAGCAACCAGGUGACACUGCCAGAUGGUAAAAUCUCACACAAACAAAACCAGAAGUGCCUGUACGCCGCAUGGAGCUAACAAAGAGCCUACUCCAAGGUGUUACCUGGUGUAAUGAAACCAGAUGUUUCCAUCGGAAUAGGCCUCCCUCAUUUGAAAUGUGUUGCUGCAAUAGCCUGAUUUGUAUAUCCAUCAGCUCAAAGUGAAGAAGAAAAAGAGCGGUUGGGGAUGUUAGGUAAGUUCAGAUUUUGAGUACAGAAUGGAAAGUGCCACCUGUUGUCUCCUCCUUUCUGAUUGUAUGUAACUUUGAAAUAUCCCUAUUGUUCCAGCUUUGAGUAAUUCAGCAGGCUGGCCAGCUCUGCAAAGCAUGAGGAGAGUAAUGAACACAGGCACAGACUUACAC